AUUGAACGCUGGCGGAAUGCUUAACACAUGCAAGUCGAGCGGGGUGUAGCAAUACAUCUAGCGGCGGACGGGUGAGGAAUACAUAGGAAUCUGCCUCAGAGCGGGGGAUAGCCAGGGGAAACCCUGAGUAAUACCGCAUGAUGUCGCAAGACCAAAGUGGGGGACCGCAAGGCCCCACACUCUGAGAGGAGCCUAUGUCUGAUUAGCUAGUUGGCGGGGAAUAGCCCACCAAGGCGACGAUCAGUAGCUGGUCUGAGAGGACGAUCAGCCACACCGGAACUGAGACACGGUCCGGACUCCUACGGGAGGCAGCAGUGGGGAAUAUUGGGCAAUGGGCGAAAGCCUGACCCAGCGACGCCGCGUU
rnacentral:rRNA from 1 species